GAAAUCCUGUUUCAUUUUUACACAAGAACGGAUAUGUUGUAAUAUGGAGUUAUGGAUUUUUGCAAUGUUAUGUUUCAGUUCUGCAACAGGGAACAUUUAUUAUGCCCUAGAAUAGAUUCUUCCUGGAAUUAGUGCAAAAAUUGUAGACUACCUGUCCUUACCAGCAAGAGGUUUAUGCUCCCUCAGCAAGGGACGAAUCCUCGCCGCCAAGCACUAUUUUCGGUAUUGAAGGCCAACAAAAUGCAUAUUCUGAGGGACGCAGCCUUGGAGCUCUGUAAUAGUCAAGCCUGAUUUAUUUUGGUAUGGUCUAUGCAUCCAUCGCAUUGUGAAUGAUUGGUUGUGGGCUUCGCUAGUUUGGUAACUAGCUUAAGGUGUGCUAUGUAUCAUUCGAAUAAUAUGUAUAACUUGUAUUUGCCAUUGUAAAUACCAGUACUAUUAAUAUUUAUUCAUCUUGUAUGCCCCAUUAUAUCAUUACUCCAUUAAACUUUUGCUUUGUUAUAUGCAAUCUCGUUAUUGACUAGUAUACUUUACUAAUUGCAUUAUACAUCUUUAGUAAUACCAGAAAUAACGAUGGGUUACUUAACACUCUUAAGUUAUUAAGAAUAUGGUUAUCAAAUCAAGACUCUCAAAAUACAAUAAUAAGAUUCGAAAUAAACACGUUAGAAAAAGUAAUUCAACAGUGAUAUUUAUUUACAAAAUUAUGCAUACGGGUAAUGCUAAUUUAAUAAAAUAAUAUACUAAUAAUAUACACGUAUUUUAAAAGUUAAAGCCUUAAAGCAAAGCAAAAUUUAAAAAAAUGUAUAUGACAAGUUCUAAGUUUCAACAGAAUUCAUUAGUUGUUACUUUAAAGUUGAAUUAUAUGUAAGAAAAAACAAGUUUUUCAACAUUGUCUAGUAUACGUUUAGUACGAUAGACAUUGAUAAUUUGUCCAGUAACUCUGAAGAAUCUUUCCGUAUUUCAGUUCCUAAUUGAAUUUUCUAUUUAAGUAAGCAAACUUAGUGUCAUCUAGUAACUUCUAGACAGUUCUUGCAAUUUGUGCUAAUCUAUUCUAGCUUUAAAAUGAUAAAUGUCUAUAAAUACAUUGUUCAUGGACUAAACAAAUAAGUUGGAGUUGGAAUAUUAAGCUCUCCCUUUAAAGAUACUUCUGGUCACUGUCUUCUAUGCUAAUAUACACAAAUCUUUUCUACUUGUAUCUACUUUAAAAUUAGUUUCUGGUUUACUAAGCUAUGAAAUAUAAAAUAUAUACUUGGUUUUAUGAUUGUAAACAGUCACUCCUGUAGGUAUGAGUUUUAUAGUCCAACCUCCUCAUUGACAUUUAUCUCCAAGUUACUAAUUUUGGUAACCGUCUAGAUCUGUGACUUCUAGUCCAGUCCCCAAAUUGAGACUUAUCUCCAAGUAAACAAACUAAUUAUUCGGUCAACCGGGUAGAUGUGUGGCUUGUGAUCCAGCCCCGUAAUUGACAACUUAUCUCCAAGUAUACAAUUUCAUACAAGUUUAACGUGUAGGGGCGUGGCUUGUAGUUCAGCCCCUAUUAGAUUCUUCUCUACGUAAACAAACUCAGUUCUCUCCUAAGUUUUGAACUCAAGACAGUGUCAACAUUUUGACAUCAGGCUAAAUGUUGUCACCUGUGUAUCUAUACUCAAAGUUAUGGACUAAACAAACAAAAGAAGAUUGGAGUUGUUCAUUUCUACAUCUUGAGAUAUACCGACACAUAUAGACAGAUGUCCGGUCCGAGUGACGUAUUUAAGAAAAUUACAUGUUAACUAGCCCACUCAAAGGUCAAAACACAAUUUUAAAAUGUAACAGUCAUCGCUGCUAUGUAUGUAAUGCGAAUUUAAUAUUAAUAGAAAUAUAAGUACUACGGUAUACAUUUUACUAUCCGGCCAACUAUCAAGCAGUGUUAUUAGGCCAAAGCUAAGUGUGGCCUAACAGUGAAAAAUGGCUGAAUAUUCGGUAGAAGCCGGAGCGACUAUCCGGUGCACCCCUUAUAGCAUAUAUGAAAUAAACGAGCCCACCAACAUGAAAGGGUUUGUGUUAAAUAGUCAAUGUAAAAUAUUUAAAUGUAUAUUUAACUUGUUACUAAUGUAAAACUCUCAAAAGUAAAUCUGGGUUUUAUAAUGAGUAGAUGUAAGUGUUGUAAUAUUUCAGACCAUUAACU
rnacentral:sRNA from 1 species